GCGAAAGUGGCGGAAUUGGUAGACGCACUGGAUUUAGGUUCCAGCGCCGCAAGGCGAGAGAGUUCUAGUCUCUCCUUUCGCACCA
rnacentral:tRNA from 1 species